AUGGCCGCGUCAGUCGUACUGUGAAGCAUCCUGUUAAGUCAGGCAACGAGCGAGACCCACGCCCACAGUUGCCAGCGUACUCUCUGGAGUGACGGGUACACUGUGGGGACCGCCGCUGCUAAAGCGGAGGAAGGAAUGGGCAACGGUAGGUCAGUAUGCCCCGAAUAUCCCGGGCUACACGCGAGCUACAAUGGUUGGUACAAUGGGUAUCUACCCCGAAAGGGGACGGGAAUCUCCUAAAACCAAUCUUAGUUCGGAUUGAGGGCUGCAACUCGCCCUCAUGAAGCUGGAAUCCGUAGUAAUCGCGUUUCAACAGAACGCGGUGAAUACGUCCCUGCUCCUU
rnacentral:rRNA from 1 species